rnacentral:rRNA from 1 species
AACGAACGUUAGCGGUGUGGAUUAGGCAUGCAAGUCGAGCGUGAAAGGCGCAAGCUGAGUAAAGCGGCGAAAGGGUGAGUAACACGUAACCAAUCUACCCCCGAGACUGGGAUAACCUGCGGAAACGCGGGCUAAUACCAGAUAGUCCUGACGGAAGGCAUCUUUUGUCGGGUAAACGGCGUAAGCCGCUCAGGGAGGGGGUUGCGGGCUAUCAGCUAGUUGGCGGGGUAAUGGCCCACCAAGGCUAUGACGGCUACCCGGUCUGAGAGGAUGGUCGGGCACACUGGGACUGAGACACUGCCCAGACUCCUACGGGAGGCUGCAGUCGAGGAUCUUCCGCAAUGGGCGAAAGCCUGACGGAGCGACACCGCGUGCAGGAU